CAUUUGAGGACCCAUCAGCACCUCGUGUCGCCGCGGCUUCUCCUCUGGUUCACCUUUUCUCUAAUUUGUGAAGGGAGCGGGGAAGAGGCAGCUGCCUCCCGAAGCCUUGAGCCAGUUCCUUCUGCCUGGAGUCCCUGCAGCCGCCACAGCAAGGGGCCUUUGGCGGAAAUGAAACGGACCGAAAGGCUCACUGUGCUUUAUGAAAUGCUGAGGUCUCUCUGGGAAGCUUCCCCACCUGAGAAGCUAGAAGAGCUGCACCAGGAAACUUGUCCCCACUUGGGGCUCAGAUAGGGGUCAGCUCCAAGCACCAUCUGCUCUCGCCAGAAUCCAGCCUGCCGUCCUAACUGCACGUCUUUUACAGGUUCCUUUACAGUGAGUUAAUGAAAUACAACCCCCAGACUGCGAAGGACAGUAUAUUUGAGCUUGCCAGGGGAGGAGAGAAGCUCCAGAUAAAAAAGACUGUUUCGUUCCACCUGUACAUCAGGUCUGUACCCUGCCGGGCUCCCAGGAUGGGCUUCCACCUGCUCUGCCGGCCCCUAAAUCUGACCCCACGCAACAGGCCACACGCUCCACUGAGGUACCAUGAGGUACAUUCCCCAGUGGAGGAUGACUGUCCUAGACACAGCUGCCCCCUCCAGCAUCCCCUGGUGGGCUCCAGGAAACAUCCCAGCUCCAGCCGCAGCAGACUAGGGACCCCGAGAAGUUGGAGUUCCCUCCUGCGCAGGUGAGUGACGGACACCCCUGUGUUGCAGCACUGCCCCGUGUGGAGACGGCGCCCUCUUCGACAAGUCCUGCAGUGACCGCGCCCUGGAAAGCACAGAUUCCCGCCACUACCCUGUCUUUGAGAAUCCCAAACAAGGCAAGCUGCGCACCAAGGUGGAGAAUGGUGAGUGCCACACAGGCUCUGCGAGACCCCCGUGUGCGCCACUCGUCACGGGGGAGGACUGUAGGGAGGGGAAGUUCCAUUCUGAAUCUGUUAGCUCAGGUGAUGAGAGCCUGGGGGGGAAGAAAGGACAGAGCGUGUCCUCCUGGGGUCUCCACGGCCGGCACAGGCAGAGUGCGGGGGGAGGGCGGCGGAAGUGAAAAGUCAGGCCCUCCGUCUGGUGGCCUCGGACCUGGCCUCCUGCCCCCUCGCGCCUUCCUGCCUGUCCCCCAGCAUCUCCUUCUCCUCCGGUCACCCCUGCUCCCUUCAUGCUUCAGCAGUCGUCUGCGUCACUGUCAAGCCCAAGUCAGGUCACGUCAGUUCCCUGCUGGCCACCCUGAAGUCUGGACAGCACCACGUGGCCCAGCAGUCCUCCUGGGCUAUCCCCAGGAGAAGUGAAAGCCCAGGUCCACACAGAGCUAGUUCGGGCGCCUUCACAGCAGCCGGGCAGGGGACACGGCCAGCGCCCUCCCCUCCAUGACAGAAAAGUAAAACCGCCACAUCCAUGCGAGGGACUGUCCUUGGCCAUGACAUGAAGUAAGCAUUGACCCAGCUACAGUGAGGUCACCCUGAAAACGUCAUGCUAAGCGCAAAAAGCCCCAAAAGAUCACGUGGUGUGACUCCAUUUCUAUGAAAUAUCCAGAAUAAAUGAGUUCUACAGACAGGAAGUGCCUGAGAGGCUGCCCGGAUGAGGGACGGAGGGAGGUGGGAGUGAGAGCCAGCCGAGGUCGGGUUGGGGUUGAUCGUGCCGAUGUAUAAUCCCAUGGUGCAUAACCUCAGAAACGCCAAAAACCACUGAACAGCUUGCUUUCAAUGGCGAGUUGUAGUAUACGACUUGUAUCUCAGUAAAGCUGGUAUUUUUUAAAAAAACGCAAGCACCAUGUAGGGUCUCCCACUGCCCUUGAUACGAAGGCAACCUGAGCCAGGCACAGUGGCCCAGGCCUGCAAUCCCAGCAGCUCCGGAGGCUGAGGCAGGAGGAUCACGAGUUCAAAGCCAGCCUUAGCGAGGCCCAGAGCAACUCAGCAAGACCCUGUCUGUACUGAAAGCCCACCUCCCGGCCUCAGCCUGCCCAGUCUUCUCUUUGGUGAUUCUCUGGUGCCCCCGAAACACCGAAACCCUCGCUGCCUCAGGCCGUGGCUUCUGCCGCUCGCUCCCUGUCUGAAUGGGUUAGGACUCUUCUCCCUCCAGCUGCUCCCUGCCUCCUCCACCCAGGAGCUCGCGGUGCCGUCCCCCCGGCUCUCCCACAGGCCUUCCCCACGCUGUCAGCAUCUGGAGUUCCCACCUGCUCACUGGUGCAUCUGCUUAGUGCUCUCCUUUCCCUUUCUGUCCCUCACCCCUGAACACCGCGGGACAGCACGGACCUCACUGAGGUCUGCUCCCCAGUGUUUCCCAGCUCCCAGCACAGUGACCGCCGUGUCCUCCAGGACUGUGAGCCACAUGGAGAAUGAAGGGCCGAGCUGCCGGUGGCCCGGCCUCAGGAGCUCAAGUCCCGCGCUAGGGGUGGUUUGGUGGCCUCUGUGGAUCUGACCCGAGUCUCUCACACAGGGGAAGGCACCAUCCCUGUGGAGUCCAGUGACAUUGUGCCUACGUGGGAUGGCAUCCGGCUUGGGGAGAGACUCCGCACCAUGUCCUGUAGUGACAAAAUCCUACGCUGGAACGUGCUGGGCCUGCAAGGGGCACUGCUGACCCACUUCCUACACCCUGUGUAUCUCAAAUCUGUCACACUGGGUAAGGGACCUGCCUUGGGAGUUGGAACCCACCUGUCCUUCUCCACCCCAGUCCCAGAAAACUUCAUGCUUCAGUCAACCCACUUUCCACAGUGAGCUCAGCCCCGUCGUCAGCAGGGGGUGCCGGCCUGCACAGGCCGGAGGGUGGCCAGGAGGCCGAGGAGGGGGGCCAGGCCAGUCUCCAAGACGGGUCGGAGAAACGCGGCAGAUGGCAGCAGCAGCAUCUGGUUUUCCUUGUUCUCCUCAGUCCUUGGCCUUACCCGAAACAUUCCGUUUUGUGCUUCAAUAUUUGAUGAUCCUGUGUGUCCUGUGCUGCCACAGUUAGAGGCCCUGCCUGUCAGGGGCUCUCUGUCCUGACAAUUCUGCCUUAUACCUUCCAGCCCCCGGGGGCCUCAGCUUCUCCAUAGCUUUGGUGAACACAGAUGUAUGGGUUUUUGUUUCUGUUUUUACUUUCUUUUUUAUACCCAGGGUACCUUUUCAGCCAAGGACAUCUGACCCGGGCUAUCUGCUGUCGUGUGACAAGAGACGGGAGUGCGUUUGAGGCUGGAUUACGAUACCCCUUUGUUGUCAACCACCCGAAGGUCUGUGCCCCUGUCCUGUUCCCCUUUUCAAGCAUUCCCAUCAGCAGAGCAGAAAUAUGGUCAAGGGAGCCAUGGUUGGUGUCCUCUGGAGGCCAAGGGCUUUCCUCCUCUAGCCUGACACGAUCUGAAUCGAGGUGGAGAGUACUUCUAGAGUGUGCUCCGGUGUAACCAAGCCAUGUUAAAUCAAGGGGGAGACGGUGGCCCACCUCCCUCUUCCCCAUGAUUCGGGAGUCCCUGCUCCCAGAACUUAGCCCUGAAUGGUGUCCACCUCUCUCUCUUCACUCCUGGGACUCCCAGGUGGGCCGAGUCAGUGUGUAUGACUCCAAGAGGCAAUCCGGGAAGACUAAGGAGACGAGCGUCAACUGGUGUUUGGCUGACGGCUUCGACCUGGAGAUCCUGGAUGGUACCAGGGGCACCGUGGACGGGUAAGGAAGGGGGAGGGUGCAGGGCAAGCAGGAUCCUCUCCAGAGCUAGGGCCACGUCCCACCACGGGUGUCCCCAGUGGCUCCCACUCCCCUGUCCCAGGUGAAUAACCAGUGCCUUUGUUUCCCCAGGCCACGAAAUGAAUUGUCGCGGGUAUCGAAAAAGAACAUUUUUCUUCUGUUUAAGAAGCUCUGCUCCUUCCGGUACCGCAGGGACUUACUGAAACUCUCCUACGGUGAGGCCAAGAAAGCCGCCCGCGACUAUGAGAUAAACAAGAACUACUUCAAAAAGAGCCUCAAGGACAUGGGUUACGGAAACUGGAUAAGCAAACCCCAGGAGGAGAAGAACUUCUAUCUCUGCCCCGUACCCAACGACUGAGGCUGGGGGUUGGCGGGGAGGGGGGGGGUCCUGGCAUUCCUCAUCACAUUGGCCUAGGGUGGGGGGGGGUUAACCCCCACCUUUUUUUUUUUAAUGGAACCAUAAUUAGAGAUACUGAGAACUUUGGGUUCCCUUUAUCCUGCUUUCUUUGGGGUUUCUAGGCAGAAUCUGGCCAGGCCCCUUCUCUUACUUCAAGUGAGAGGCAGAGACCUACAGGCAGAGAAAGGGGUUGACCUUUCCACCCAGAGCAUAAGCAGUCACCCAGCCCCUGUGGCCCAUCUCCUCCUGAGCUUUGUUUUCCCGUUUCCUUUUUGUGGGUGUGUUUCUACACUGACCUCUCGUGGACUUGAUCAGGUUCCAGUCAGUUCUCUGUGAACCGUGUCAGGGACCAAGGAUCUCGUUUAUGGAUCCCACAGGCCCCUCUAUUUCCCACCCCCGGCUUCUGAGAUUCUUACCUGUGAUCACUGAGUCUCUCCUCCCACCCUGGAGGGUAAAGAGGUGGACUUCAGGAAUUAGGUGAAAUAUUUACAAGGGUAGGAACUGAAGACUACGGCGGAUUAACUACCAGUGCCAAUGGAAGUGGGACUGGAAUCUGCGAACCCUGCUCAGCAGUGGGAACCUGCACUGUGUCCAGGAAAAAGCCGCUGCUGGCGAAGCGCAUCCCUUCCCGGGGCAGCAGGAAGUUGAGAACCAGCAGACGGGCUAGGAAGUUACCCACGCCGUAGGCGGUCCCCCCUGCAGAGUGACACAGACCACUACCAGGGGCACAGACAGACGUUCCUUGGGCUAUUGCCAAGCUCCCAUCUGCCCAUAAGCCCAUAGACCCCAGUAAACUAGUGUGAAAAACUUCAGGACAAUUCUUAGAGGGUAAAUCGUCUGCUCAGAUAGUUAGGACUUAGCAAGAAUAGGGCAGAAAUCAUGUUGGGACAAAUCGUUGUUCUGUGCAGUUCAAUAUUUCUCAGCACUGAUCCAAGGAAAGUUGACUAAACCCAGUAGAAUUAGGGCUCUUUUAAAGAAUGCCAGAGACGUUGGUUCUCAACCGCAGUCGCACAGAUUUAAAAUGCAGAUGGCCUUUUCCAUCCAUCCCAGGGCCUCAUCGUGUCAGAUGGCUCUGGGACUGGCAGAUGAUUUCCCACACUCCUGCCUCCCACCCGCAAACUGCUUCCCCACCUGGUCUGGCCCACCUCUUCAGUAGUGGAUAUGUCUGUGUUUGCACUUUGAUCUCUCUGGCUACUUUCUGUACCUGUGACCAAAAACUGAAUGAAAUAAUAAUGCAGGUUUUAAAAAAGACACUAAGGAUGUCUUUGUGGGACACUGAAGCAUCCCAAGGGAACUGGUGGGGAAAUGGGGCCUGUCUCUGGGGGAGAAGGGGCCGGGGCUUUGUGAGUAUUGCCAAGCUUGGGGUAUUAGCUGAAGGCAUGUGACUUCAGUGCUGACCUGCGGAGUGACAGUGCUCACUGUGUGGGGGCAGGGUGAUCUUGUGGCUCCGGGACAGGUCCUCCCGGCUGGAGGAUGACUACCUACCAGUUCCUCAGGAUGUCUGGCAGCUUUGGUCUGCCUUGGGCAUUAGAAUCUCUGGCAGAGAUCUGACUCAGCAGUCCCCCACCCCAUCACUGGGAGCACAGGGGCUCUCAAGAGAUCAGAGCCCCACUCGCCCCCAGGAUCUUAUCUAGCAAACUUGUCAUAUCCAGUUUCUGCUGUAAGAAGAAAGCGAGAAGCACCCCUGCCCUCCACACCCUGCUGGAAUUGAGCCGUGUCAGGCCCCGCCCCCCCCGUGUCCCAGGCCCCGCCCCUCAGAGUCACACAGGAGGGGUGGGGGGCAGAGCAUCCCCCCUGUGUUCACUUCUGUCCAAUCUUUGUUUUAACAAGCAAGACCCCUCCCUCCUUUCUUUAAUGGUUUUUUGUAGUUGAUUUGUCUGAACUGUGGCUGUUGUGCAUUAUCUUUGAAUAAUCACUUGUAAAAAUUGUUGAUGCUUGAAGCUAUUUCCUUUACUCAAGUUGAAAGGACUCUGUUGGCUUUGGGGUCUUGACAGUGACUCCAAGAGCAGAGUGGGGAAGAGCCCGGGCAUAGCCUUGGUGCCAGGGAGGCUGCAGUCCAGUUUCAUGAUUCUGCUUUUUGUGUCUACCUUCAAGUGACUCACAGUAUACAUUCCUCUGAAAUAAAAACAGUGAACAGUCUGAAUCCUUAGAGAGCUUCAUGUCUUGGUC
rnacentral:lncRNA from 1 species